rnacentral:rRNA from 1 species
AGGAUGAACGCUGGCGGUACGUCUGACACAUGCAAGUCGAACGGGAAGGGUGGCUUCGGCUACCCCGAGAGUGGCGAACGGCUGAGUAACACGUAGGAACCUACCCCUCAGUUCGGGAUAACGGGACGAAAGCCCCGCUAAUACCGGAUAAUAUCGAAAGAUUAGAAAGGUUUACUGCUGGAGGGAGGGCCUGCGGGCUAUUAGCUUGAUGGUGGGUAACGCUCACCAUGGCGAUGAUGGCUAGC